ACUAAGGCUCGGAGAGAUUGCGAGUUGGAAGUGGCAGGUUUUAAACCAGGUCAUUUGACUCUGGGGUCCACGCCAACUGACCGCUAUGGUUUCAGGGAAGGCAAUAUCCAGGCAUCCAAAAGGAGAGAAGAAAGUGGGGGUUGAGCAUUGGGGAGACAGUGCCCCCAAAAUACGAUGAGAAUUUUUCGCCGAGCUGAAGGAAGAUCCAAGACCUGAGAUCAACAACGAGCGGAAGAGGAUUACCAAAAAAGAUAAAAAAGCUACAAAUAAUCCAGAGAAGAAACAAUGGAAUCAAUAUGGACAUCUCAAGAAAGCAGAAGGCACGGCAGAAUUUUGAAUCAUCCCAACCUUCUUAAACCCUGAUAAAUAUUGCCAGACGAAGGAUCUUGAAGUAUCCAAAGAAUUUGGGGGGCACAAGAGGAAUUGCCAGUGCUGCGAGCUCUCAGCUGACUAUAAAA